rnacentral:lncRNA from 1 species
CCUGCAGCUACUUCAUCUCUAGCUUUAAAUUCAUUAGGUACCCCCCUAGGUACCCCAAUGGCAUCUAUGUAAAUGUGGGGGUCAAAACUGCCUUUUACUGGGGUUUCGCGCCUCACUCUGGCUGGUGUAUGUGGAGGGUCGUAUGUGUCAUGAUGAUUAUCAGAAAUAAUAUGAAUGGGCAUGAUAACUUUGGCUAGGGUACACUCACCCCACCACUCAGUUUCCAGCCUAGAUCUUAACUGUAGAUCCCCACAUAACCAGUAAAUAUCCCCCAAUGACCUGGUAUGGUGUUGCAACAGGCGUAUAGGAACAGUUCUGUAAGUGGCGCAAUAACCUUUAGAAAAAUUACCCAUGAAUUUACCAAUCCCGUCAUACAUGGCAUAACAAGUGUAAUUACCUCUAUAGACUGUGAUUCCAUCAGGUGGCUUAAUAUUUUCAACUAAGAGAGGGUACUCUGCCGUCCAUGCCAUGCAGAGGGACCUAUUAAAGUCAUAGUGGUAGGCAAAAAGGCUUAAGAAGCAAUCUUCUAUCUCUAAAGGGAGAAUUAGGGGGACGGUGCCAAGGUGGGGUCGGGCACCGCCACAUACAUAACAUGCUGUUUUAUUAUGUUUGUUGGCAUUAUACCUCAUCCAUUCUAACCACAAAUUAAUGUCAUUGAAUCCAGUUUCAGCGGCCAUGGUAUCUUCAAAAGUGGGGUUAGCGAUGGCCAUCAUAUCUUUAAAGGACUGGAU